AACUGAGUUUGUGAUCGGUAUGGAAGUUUAAUUUUUCACAAAAUAUGGAGCAUAUAUAUUAUGUUAACAGUAGAAGAUAAGGCAAAAAUCGUUGCUGAGUUUGGUCGUA
rnacentral:ncRNA from 1 species